CAUGAAGCUGGAUUCGCUAGUAAUCGCGCAUCAGCCACGGCGCGGUGAAUACGUUCCCGGGCCUUGUACACACCGCCCGUCAAGCCAUGGAAGCCGGGAGUGCCUGAAGUACGCGACCGCAAGGAGCGUCCUAAGGUAAAACCGGUGACUGGGGCUAAGUCGUAACAAGGUACC
rnacentral:rRNA from 1 species